rnacentral:rRNA from 1 species
AAUGGGGGCAACCCUGAUCCAGCCAUGCCGCGUGUGUGAAGAAGGCCUUCGGGUUGUAAAGCACUUUCAGUAGGGAGGAAGGCUUAUCCUUAAUACGGAUGAGUACUUGACGUUACCUACAGAAGAAGCACCGGCUAAUUUCGUGCCAGCAGCCGCGGUAAUACGAAAGGUGCGAGCGUUAAUCGGAAUUACUGGGCGUAAAGCGCGCGUAGGCGGUUUGCUAAGUCAGAUGUGAAAGCCCCGGGCUCAACCUGGGAACUGCAUUUGAAACUGGCAGGCUAGAAUGCAGUAGAGGGAGGUGGAAUUUCCGGUGUAGCGGUGAAAUGCGUAGAGAUCGGAAGGAACACCAGUGGCGAAGGCGGCCUCCUGGACUGACAUUGACGCUGAGGUGCGAAAGCGUGGGGGGCAAACAGGAUU